UACGGGGGGAGCAAGCGUUGUUCGGAUUUACUGGGCGUAAAGCGCACGUAGGCGGUUUGUUAAGUCAGAGGUGAAAUCCUGGAGCUCAACUCCAGAACUGCCUUUGAUACUGGCAAGCUCGAGUCCGGAAGAGGUAAGUGGAACUCCUAGUGUAGAGGUGGAAUUCGUAGAUAUUAGGAAGAACACCAGUGGCGAAGGCGGCUUACUGGUCCGGAACUGACGCUGAGGUGCGAAAGCGUGGGGAGCAAACAGG
rnacentral:rRNA from 1 species